UGAACGCUAGCGGCAGGCUUAAUACAUGCAAGUCGUGGGGCAGCACAGUGUAGCAAUACAUGGGUGGCGACCGGCAAACGGGUGCGUAACACGUACGCAACUUACCCAUUACAGAGGGAUAGCCCAGGGAAACUUGGAUUAAUACUUCAUAUUAUAUAGGAUUGGCAUCAGUUUUAUAUCAAAGCUACGGCGGUAAUGGAUGGGCGUGCGGUUGAUUAGAUAGUUGGCGGGGUAACGGCCCACCAAGUCUACGAUCAAUAGCUGAUGUGAGAGCAUGAUCAGCCACACGGGCACUGAGACACGGGCCCGACUCCUACGGGAGGCAGCAGUAAGGAAUAUUGGGCAAUGGACGCAAGUCUGACCCAGCCAUGCCGCGUGAAGGAUGAAGGUCCUCUGGAUUGUAAACUUCUUUAUCUGGGGCGAAAAUCACCUUUCUAGGGUGCUUGACAGUACCAGAGGAAUAAGCACCGGCUAA
rnacentral:rRNA from 1 species